AGCUCAGCACGCGAGAGAACAGGGAGUGUGGUCAGAAAGAUAGCUCAGGGUUUACCAUUGCUCUGCAACGAGCUCUUCUUCAACGAUGUUCAAGUAUGCCUUCUUCUACCUGCUUGUCUGCGUAAUUGUUCUGGUUGACGCACAAGAACAUGAAGAAGGAAAUGAUGAGGAUGAAGGCAACGGACUCGGACGGGUGGUGCAGAUACCAGUGAAGGUUUUCAAAGGAGCUGUCAAAUUCAUUAAAGAUCUCUUAGGACUUGGCGCAGGUGGCGAUCCAACUGGGCUGCUACGCAAGUGAGCCGCUGCUUCUAAAGGAGGACAUCCCACAAAGAACGUAGAAAGAUAUCUUGCGUGUAUCAAACAAUAAACGUUCUACGAUGCAUUCAGCUUUACAGAACCCAGAGAAUCGUUCUCCAUACUGCA